GACAGAGGUGGCAAGCGUUGUUCGGAGUUACUGGGCGUAAAGCGCACGUAGGCGGCUGGAUAAGUCCUGUGUGAAAUCCCCUCGCUCAACGAGGGAACGGCAUGGGAUACUGUCCGGCUAGAGGGUUGGAGAGGAGAGUGGAAUUCCCGGUGUAGCGGUGAAAUGCGUAGAGAUCGGGAGGAACACCUGUAGCGAAGGCGGCUCUCUGGACAACCCCUGACGCUUAAGUACGAAAGCGUGGGUAGCAAACAGG
rnacentral:rRNA from 1 species